rnacentral:rRNA from 1 species
GAUGAACGCUAGCGGCAGGCUUAACACAUGCAAGUCGAGGGGUAGGUUACUUCGGUAACUGAGACCGGCGCACGGGUGCGUAACGCGUAUACGAUCUACCUUUUACAGAGGGAUAGCCCAGAGAAAUUUGGAUUAAUACCUCAUAGUAUUUUUGAAUGGCAUCAUUUGAUUAUUAAAGUUCCAACGGUAAAAGAUGAGUAUGCGUCCCAUUAGCUAGAUGGUAAGGUAACGGCUUACCAUGGCUACGAUGGGUAGGGGUCCUGAGAGGGAGAUCCCCCACACUGGUACUGAGACACGGACCAGACUCCUACGGGAGGCAGCAGUAAGGAAUAUUGGACAAUGGGCGCAAGCCUGAUCCAGCCAUGCCGCGUGCAGGAAGAAGGUCCUAUGGAUUGUAAACUGCUUUUAUACAGGAAGAAACACCUCUACGUGUAGAGACUUGACGGUACUGUAUGAAUAAGGACCGGCUA